GCGGGUGUAACUCAGUUGGUAGAGUACCUGCCUUCCAAGCAGGUUGUCGCCAGUUCGAGCCUGGUCGCCCGCUCCA
rnacentral:tRNA from 1 species